rnacentral:rRNA from 1 species
CCCUUAGAUGUUCUGGGCCGCACGCGCGCUACACUGACGAAUGCAACGAGCUUAUAACCUUGGCCGAAAGGUCUGGGUAAUCUCCAAAUUUCGUCGUGAUGGGGAUAGAUUAUUGCAAUUAUUAAUCUUCAACGAGGAAUGCCUAGUAAGCGCAAGUCAUCAGCUUGCGUUGAUUCCGUCCCUGCCCUUUGUACACACCGCCCGUCGCUCCUACCGAUUGAAUGGUCCGGUGAAGCGUUCGGACCGUGGCCUUUGGACGGUUCGCCGUCUGUUGGCUGCGGGAAGUUCGUUAAACCUUAUCAUUUAGAGGAAGGAGAAGUCGUAACA